rnacentral:rRNA from 1 species
AAUGAACGCUGGCGGCGCGCCUAAUACAUGCAAGUCGAGCGACGAAGGACGUAGCAAUACGUUUGUAAAGCGGCGAACGGGUGAGGAAUACAUGGGUAACCUACCCUUGAGUGGGGAAUAACUAGGCCGAAAGGUUAGCUAAUACCGCGUACGCUUCUUGGACUUCGGUUCAGGGAGGAAAGCGAUGCCGAGGGUAUCGCGCUCUUGGAUGGGCUCAUGUCCUAUCA